UACGAAGGGGGCUAGCGUUGCUCGGAAUCACUGGGCGUAAAGCGCACGUAGGCGGAUCUUUAAGUCAGGGGUGAAAUCCCAAGGCUCAACCUUGGAACUGCCUUUGAUACUGGGGAUCUCGAGUCCGGAAGAGGUGAGUGGAACUGCGAGUGUAGAGGUGAAAUUCGUAGAUAUUCGCAAGAACACCAGUGGCGAAGGCGGGACUCUGGGCCGAUACUGACGCUGAGGAGCGAAAGCGUGGGGAGCAAACAGG
rnacentral:rRNA from 1 species